rnacentral:rRNA from 1 species
GAUGAACGCUGGCGGCGUGCCUAAUACAUGCAAGUCGAGCGAACAGAUGAGGAGCUUGCUCCUCUGACGUUAGCGGCGGACGGGUGAGUAACACGUGGAUAACCUACCUAUAAGACUGGGAUAACUUCGGGAAACCGGAGCUAAUACCGGAUAAUAUAUUGAACCGCAUGGUUCAAUAGUGAAAGACGGUUUUGCUGUCACUUAUAGAUGGAUCCGCGCCGCACUAGCUAGUUGGUAAGGUAACGGCUUACCAAGGCAACGAUGCGUAGCCGACCUGAGAGGGGGAUCGGCAACAGGGGAACUGGGAACGGGACAAGCCACAAAGGGGGGGCAGAAGAGGGAAAACUUCCCAAAGGGGGGAAAGCCGGACGGAGAAACGCCGGGGGGGGGAUGAGGGUCUUGGGAACGUAAAACUUUGUUAUUGGGAAAAAAAAAAUGGGAAAGUAACUAUGCACGUCUUGAGGGGACCUAAUCAAAAAGCCACGGCAAACUACGU